CCCUAGCGGCGAACGGGUGAGUAACACGUGGGCAACCUGCCCCUAGCUCUGGGACAACUCCGGGAAACCGGGGCUAAUACCGGAUAUGACCUCGGAAGGCAUUUUCUGAGGUGGAAAGUUUUUCGGCUAGGGAUGGGCCCGCGGCCUAUCAGCUUGUUGGUGAGGUAAUGGCUCACCAAGGCGACGACGGGUAGCCGGCCUGAGAGGGCGAUCGGCCACACUGGGACUGAGACACGGCCCAG
rnacentral:rRNA from 1 species